ACGUGACACUGAAGCGCCAUGCCGGAAGCACUGGGUGUGAUGCGCCGGAACCAGUCUCCACCGUGUGGUUUGGUCUUGAUUUCCACUGCUACUCUGGGGUCUUGCUUGGAUAAGCCUCUGGACCUCGCCUUUGUCAUUUGCGAAGUGGAUAGGUUCCAAUAGAGAUUUUCCCAGAAUCAUUCAACUAAAAAUAGAGAACUUUUUUUUUGAGAGGAAGGACGGGGGCGCAGUUAAAGAUGUUAAUGUUAAGUCAUCCCUUCUGUGAUUUCGGGACAUUAUCUUUGCACGCCAUGUGAAGAUGUGCUUGCUUCCCUGUCACCUUCCACCAUGAUUGUAAGUUUCCUGAGGCCUCCCAGGAAGCAGAAGCCUGUACAGCCCACAGAACCAUGACCUGAUGAAAUCUCUUUUCUUUAUAAAUUACCCAGUCUCAGAUCUUGCUAUGCUUGUCAUUGUGUAAGCAGCAAACUUGCAGUGACCAGUUGGAUUCCACCCCCCUGAUGUUGGUGGUGUGCUCUUGGGGAGAUGUCUUCCAGACAGGCAAAGAAGAGUGACAUCAUCAGAGCAUGGAUGACCUCAAAGAUAUUACAGCUAUGCUCCAGAGAGAGCCAUCCUGAUGGAAACUACUGAACAUGGGGACACAAAAGAAAAGAGGGAGGAGAUGAAAGAAGGUGAGGGUCUCUAUUGCCAGCAGAACUGGACUGUGUGUUUAACUGGAAAGCUGAUGGGAAAUGUAGUUAUGCACAGCUCUCUGGACCCUUCUAGUGAAAUAAAGAACUAGUUAAAUAAGGCAAGACAGAAGAAUGAGGCUGCCAUCUAGAGGUAGUAACAGGUAAUGUUCCAGGGCACAAGGGAGCCAAAGGCAGAGAGUUUCUUCACUUUUUAUUCUCUGCAGUCUUCAUACCUAAUAAUGAUCUCAUUCCUCUAUAUUAGUCAAGAUCUUCCCAUUAUAAGUGACGAAUUAUAACCAGAUUAAACCAAAAAGUAAAAUAAUUCAUUGACUGAUUGAUAUGGUUUGGAUUUGUGUCCCCGCCCAAAUCUCAUGUAGAAUUGUAAUCCCCGGUGCCAAUUGGAGGUGGGUCCUGGUGGGAAGUGAUGGGAUCAUGUGGGCGGUUUCUCAUGGUGUAACGCAAUCCACUUUGGUGCUGUCGUCGCGAUGGUGAGUCCUCAUGAGAUCUGGUUGUUUCAAGGUGUGUGGCACCUCACCUCUCUCUCUCUCUCUCUUGCUCCUGCUCCCACCACGUGAGGCACCUCUCUCCCCCUUUGCCUUCUGCCAUGAUUGGAAACUUCCUGAGGCCUCCCCAGAAGCAGAAGCCCCUAUGCUUCCUGCACAGCCUGCAGAACCAGGAAACAAAAGGAGGGUGUUAGAGGAAAAAGAGGGAAACCCACUGACAGAGAGGAAAGCUGAAGAGAUCCCACCACUGACUUGGACUAAGGAGAGAGAAGUCAAAGAGUAGUUACCUGGAUGAGGUGGCUGAAUAUGGGCGUGCUCUUGUCACUUUGGAUGUCACAACUAGCCUUGAGAAGAGCUGCUGUUCCAGGAGUCUGUCACAACUAGCCUUGAGAAGAGCUGCUGUUCCAGGAGUCUGUCACAACUAGCCUUGAGAAGAGCUGCUGUUCCAGGAGUCUGUAGCCAAGGACGUACAGCAGUGGAGGCUGACUCAUUGCAUAGCUGAGUGACCAAUUGCUUGGCAUGAGUUUACUUUAAUGGCUGUUUCUGAGUUUGAUCCCUCUCUGGAACCAACCCCUCUGAUGUGUCCUGUUCCAGCAGGAAGAGACAGACCUGGAGGUUCCGUACUUGUGAUUUCUGGUUGUGGAUCCUGAGAACAAGAAGUACUGGGAUCCUAAAGUUCUGACAUUUGCAAAGCAGAUUAAUGACCUACCACAUUCCAGAUCAUUUGGUGAUUUUGUGUGUGCGUGUGGGUGUGUGUGUGUGUGUGCCAAAUUCAAGGUGGUCCCAGCCUUUCUAGUCUUCUCUAACCCUUCUUCUCAGAAGUCGCACCUGUUCUGUCUUUCUAGGAUAUAAUUUUUUUUCUAUUAGCCUGGGUAACACCCCAACCAAUAAAGUUUGCAAUAUCCAAGCC
rnacentral:antisense_RNA from 1 species